rnacentral:rRNA from 1 species
UGGGAGGGCAAGUCUGGUGCCAGCAGCCGCGGUAAUUCCAGCUCUCAAAGUGCAUAGAAUUAUUGCUGCGGUUAAAAAGCUCGUAGUUGGAUCUGUGCCAUAGGACGUGGUCCACCUUCGGGUGCGUACUACGCUCCUAGGCUUUUUGCUGGUUUUCCCGUCGUAGCCUUCACUGGUUGCGGCGGGUGGCUGGCGAGUUUACUUUGAGAAAAUCAGAGUGCUCAAUACAGGCGUAUCGCUUGAAUGAUUGUGCAUGGAAUAAUAGAAAAGGAUUUCGGUCCUCUUUUAUUGGUUUUGUGGACUGAGAUAAUGGUUAACAGGGACAAACGGGGGCAUUCGUAUCUCUGCGUGAGAGGUGAAAUUCUUGGACCGUAGAGAGACGCCCUACUGCGAAAGCAUUUGCCAA